UACGUAGGGUGCAAGCGUUAAUCGGAAUUACUGGGCGUAAAGCGUGCGCAGGCGGUGAUGUAAGACAGGUGUGAAAUCCCCGGGCUUAACCUGGGAACUGCAUUUGUGACUGCAUCGCUGGAGUGCGGCAGAGGGGGAUGGAAUUCCGCGUGUAGCAGUGAAAUACGUAGAUAUGCGGAGGAACACCGAUGGCGAAGGCAAUCCCCUGGGCCGAUACUGACGCUGAGGAGCGAAAGCGUGGGGAGCGAACAGG
rnacentral:rRNA from 1 species